CCAUGUGUCAAGUCUAUCGAU
rnacentral:siRNA from 1 species